CCUACGGGCGGCAGCAGUGGGGAAUAUUGCACAAUGGGGGAAACCCUGAUGCAGCGACGCCGCGUGAGUGCAGAAGUAUCUCGGUACGUAAAGCUCUAUCAGCAGGGAAGAAAAUGACGGUACCUGACUAAGAAGCCCCGGCUAACUCUGUGCCAGCAGCCGCGGUAAUACGUAGGGGGCAAGCGUUAUCCGGAUUUACUGGGUGUAAAGGGAGCGUAGACGGCAGCACAAGGCUGGAGUGAAAUCCCGGGGCUUAACCCCGGAACUGCUUUGGAAACUGUGCGGCUGGAGUGCAGGAGGGGUAAGCGGAAUUCCUAGUGUAGCGGUGAAAUGCGUAGAUAUUAGGAGGAACACCGGUGGCGAAGGCGGCUUACUGGACUGUAACUGACGUUGAGGCACGAAGGCGUGGGGAGCAAACGGGAUUAGAUACCCCUGUAGUC
rnacentral:rRNA from 1 species